rnacentral:rRNA from 1 species
AGGAAACAAAUGCUAAUACCGUAUAAUAAUUAAAACCGCAUUGGUUUUAGUUUAAAAGAUGGUCUUGCUAUCACUAAGAGAUGGUCCCGCGGUGUAUUAGUUAGUUGGUGAGGUAAUGGCUCACCAAGACAAUGAUACAUAGCCGAGUUGAGAGACUGACCGGCCACAAUGGGACUGAGACACGGCCCAUACUCCUACGGGAGGCAGCAGUAGGGAAUCUUCCACAAUGGACGAAAGUCUGAUGGAGCAACGCCGCGUGUGUGAUGAAGGGUUUCGGCUCGUAGAACACUGUUGUAAGAGAAGAAUGACAUUGAGAGUAACUGUUCAAUGUGUGACGGUGUCUUACCAGAAAGGAACGGCUAAAUACGUG